rnacentral:rRNA from 1 species
CCUACGGGAGGCAGCAGUGGGGAAUUUUGCGCAAUGCUCGUAAGAGUGACGCAGCGACGCCGCGUGAAUGACGAAGGCCUUCGGGUCGUAAAGUUCUUUUGUGCGGGAGCAAUAAUGGUCACGUGUGGCCAGACGAGAGUACCGUACGAAUAAGCAUCGGCUAACUCCGUGCCAGCAGCCGCGGUAAUACGGGGGAUGCAAGCGUUAUCCGGAUUUAUUGGGUUUAAAGGGUGCGUAGGCUGUGAGGUAAGUCAGCGGUGAAAUGCCCCCGCUCAACGGGGUGAAGUGCCAUUGAUACUGCCUUGCUGGAAUGCGGAUGCCGUGGGAGGAAUGUGUGGUGUAGCGGUGAAAUGCAUAGAUAUCACACAGAACACCGAUUGCGAAGGCAUCUCACGAAUCCGCGAUUGACGCUGAUGCACGAAAGCGUGGGUAUCAAACAGGAUUAGAUACCCGGGUAGUC